rnacentral:tRNA from 13 species
UGGCCCAUAGGGGGAUCGAACCCACGACCUUCACGUUAUUAGCACGACGCUCUAACCAACUGAGGUAAUGGGCC